GGAAGCCCGACCAGGUGUUUGCCUCCCAGAGCCGUUUACUCUCAAUGCCAGUUGGGGCAGUUCCCUUGGCAAGAACCAUUGGGCUAUGGGAACUGACCACCCCCGGGGAAGUUCAUUGCCGAGAGAUUCAGGGGCUCACCUAGGACUGCCAUGCAGGAAGACUCCUGAGAACAAGGUCCAGGGCUGUGCUGAGAGUUUACUAAACAUGGGGCACUAUGUUGGUAUCUGACAGCCAAGCCCUAGUCUCACUGAGAAGUCUGAUUCCCGUUCCUCCAUGAGCUUACAAUCACAUUGGGAAGAUGAGCCAUGAAGUGGUACAAAGGAGUUCCUGGAAAUUGUUUGGAUGCACCAUCUAUUCAAAACCAUUGCUCGUGAGUCCCUAUUUUUCACUGGAUCUCCCUCUAUCAUGUGCGCAAUUAAACAGGUGACAUCUUAGGAAGGUAAAGGUCAAUUACUUGAAACAAAAGGCAAAUUGAGCAACAAAGGGUUAAAUCAACAACAGGCUUUCCAGUGUCUCCCAUUUCUUGAAACUCCCUUCUUGUGCCUCUAAUUUAGGAGGAAAUAAAUCUACUCAUCUCUG
rnacentral:lncRNA from 1 species